rnacentral:rRNA from 1 species
CAAUUCUAGAGCUAAUACAUGCAGCAGAGCUCCGACCCUCGGGGACGAGCGCUUUUAUUAGACCAAGACCAAUCGGACCUCGCGUCCGUCAAACGUGGUGACUCUGUAUAACUUUGGGCUGAUCGCACGGGCCCGUCCCGGCGACGCGUCCUUCAAGUGUCUGCCUUAUCAACUGUCGAUGGUAAGGCCCCCGCCUACCAUGGUCGUGACGGGUGACGGGGAAUCAGGGUUCGAUUCCGGAGAGGGAGCCUGAGAAACGGCUACCACAUCCAAGGAAGGCAGCAGGCGCGCAAAUUACCCACUCCCGGCACGGGGAGGUAGUGACGGAAAAUAACAAUACGGGACUCUUUUGAGACCCCGUAAUUGGAAUGAGCACACUCCAAACCGUUUAACGAGGAUCCAUUGGAGUACCAGUCUGGUGCCAGCACACGCGGUAACUCCAGCUCCAAUAGCGUAUAUUAAAGUUGUUGCGGUUAAAAAGCUCGUAGUUGGAUCUCAGUUCCGGCCGGGGGGUCCGCCUUAAACCGGCGGCCACUCCCCCGCAGCCGAACAGCCGGCCGGUUUCCCCCGAUGAUCUUCACCGGUUGUCCCGGGUGACCGGCAAGUUUACUUUGAAAAAAUUAGAGUGCUCAGGGCAGGCGCGACGCCUGGAUAAAGGUGCAUGGAAUAAUGGAAUAGGACCUCGGUUCUGUUCUGUUGGUCUUCGGGACACGAGGUAAUGAUUAAGAGGGACAGAUGGGGGCAUUCGUAUUGCGGCGCUAGAGGUGAAAUUCUUGGACCGCCGCAAGACGAACUACUGCGAAAGCAUUUGCCAAGAAUGUUUCCAUUAAUCAAGAACGAAAGUUAGAGGUGCGAAGGCGAUCAGAUACCGCCCUAGUUCUAACCAUAAACGAUGCCAGCCGGCGAUCCGGCGUCGUUCCUCAAAUGACACGCCGGGCAGCUUCCGGGAAACCAAAGCCUUUGGGUUCCGGGGGAAGUAUGGUUGCAAAGCUAAAACUUAAAGGAAUUGACGGAAGGUCACACAAGGAAUGGAGCUUGCGGCUUAAUUUGACUCAACGCGGGGUAGCCUACCCAGCCAGGGCACAGGAAGGAUUGACAGAUUAAGAGCUCUUUCUUGAUUCUGUGGGUAGUGGUGCAUGUCCGUUCUUCGUUGGUGGAGCGAUUUGUCUGGUUAAUUCCGAUAACGAACGAGAUUCUAGCCUGCUAAAUAGGCGUUCCCGGUCCUUCGGGGGCCGGGCGCUCUUCUUAGAGGGAUCGGCGGCGCUCAGCCGCACGAAACAGAGCAAUAACAGGUCUUGAAUGCCCUUAGAUGCCUGGGGCUGCACGCGUGCUACAUUGAAGGAACCAGCGUGUGCUCUCCCUGUCCGGCAGGACUGGGUAACCCGCUGAACCUCCUUCGUGCUGGGGAUAGGAGUUUGUAACUGUCCUCCUUGAACGAGGAAUUCCUAGUAAGCGCGAGUCAUAACCUCGCGUUGAUUAGGUCCCUGGCCUUUGUACACACCGCCCGUCGCUACCCCCGAUGGAAUGAUUUAGUGAGGUCUUCGGACUGGCGCUCGGAGGGG